rnacentral:tRNA from 1 species
GCGGGUAUCGUAUAACGGUAGUACUCUAGCCUUCCAAGCUGGAGGCAGGGGUCCGACUCCCCUUACCCGCUCCA